GCCGGAGGGGGGCGGCGGAGACGGCUCGUCUGUGUCCGAGUCGUCGUCGUCCUCGGGCACCUGAGGCUUGAGCAGCACCGAACGGCCCCGACUGCGGGGCCGGCGCGGCGAACACAUGAAAACGUCGGCAGCCAUGAGGAGAACCUGGUCCGGGGCAUCCCCCGGGAGCCGGGGCGACGUAAAGCGGAGAAGCACGGGGAACGGAGGGGGCCGCCGGCCCGACCCGGCCCGGCCCUCGCGCAGACUGCCCGGGAACGCGCGGCCUGAGGGGGAGGGCGCGGGCCUCCUCGUAACGUCACUGUCGUCUUGGCCAAUCGGAUGCUCGCCUCUGCCUCUUAAAGGAAAUCCAGUGAGAUGGUUCAGUAGGUAAAUAAAAGCACUUGCUGUUAAGUCUGACCUUCAUUCCAACCCGUGGGACCCACAAGAUAGAAGACUCCCAACAACUUAAUCUCUGACCACCCCAACCCCACUGUGGCAUCUGCGCUUCUCACGAUAAAUAAAGGUAAAAAUAAAUAAAUAAAAGA
ensembl:antisense Gm15747 predicted gene 15747